rnacentral:rRNA from 1 species
CCUACGGGUGGCAGCAGUGAGGAAUAUUGGUCAAUGGACGCAAGUCUGAACCAGCCAAGCAGCGUGCAGGAAGACGGCUCUAUGAGUUGUAAACUGCUUUUGUAUGAGGGUAAACGCAGAUACGCGUACCUGCUUGUAAGUAUCGUACGAAUAAGGAUCGGCUAACUCCGUGCCAGCAGCCGCGGUAAUACGGAGGAUUCAAGCGUUAUCCGGAUUUAUUGGGUUUAAAGGGUGCGUAGGCGGUGGGAUAAGUUAGAGGUGAAAGUCCGAGGCUCAACUGUGGAAUUGACUCUGAUACUGGUCGUCUAGAGAGCAGUAGAGGUAGGCGGAAUGUGUGGUGUAGCGGUGAAAUGCUUAGAGAUCAUGAAGAACACCGAUUGCGAAGGCAGCUUAC